rnacentral:misc_RNA from 1 species
UUUUCUGCUUCAAGUGACUUCACUAAGACCAUAAAUUAGCCAAAGUCAAAACACGCAACUCCUUCAAAUCACCGAUCGAUUGUUUGUCGAACAGCCCUAACACUCCAAGAUUUCACCUUUUCCAACCAAAACACCAGGAAACACAAAACCCAUCAGAACCCAUCUCAUAAUUGGAUCAAAAAACAAACGAAAAGGUGGAGAGGUUGAGGAAAAAAUUUGAAUAUGGCGGGGAAAAUAGGGAUGAAGAGAGAGAGAAGGAGAGAAAUGGGAAAAUCGGAAAAGUGUAGAAGGGCAAGGAAGGGAAGGAAGGAGGGUGAAGAAAUUGAGGGGCAAAAGGGAAUUGGGGAUUUGCGA